UCCUACGGGAGGCAGCAGUAGGGAAUCUUCCGCAAUGGACGAAAGUCUGACGGAGCAACGCCGCGUGAGUGAUGAAGGUUUUCGGAUCGUAAAACUCUGUUGUUAGGGAAGAACAAGUGCCGUUCAAAUAGGGCGGUACCUUGACGGUACCUAACCAGAAAGCCACGGCUAACUACGUGCCAGCAGCCGCGGUAAU
rnacentral:rRNA from 1 species